ACGGAAGGCAGCAGUGGGGACUAUUGGGCAAUGGGCGCAAGCCUGACCCAGCAACGCCGCGUGAAGGAAGCAGGCUUUCGGGUUGUAAACUUCUUUUACCAGGGACGAAGAACGUGACGGUACCUGGAGAAAAAGCCACGGCUAACUACGUGCCAGCAGCCGCGGUAAUACGUAGGUGGCAAGCGUUGUCCGGAUUUACCGGGUGUAAAGGGCGUGUAGGCGGAGAUGCAAGUCAGAAGUGAAAUCUAGGGGCUCAACCCCUAAACUGCUUUUGAAACUGCACCCAUUGAGUAUCGGAGAGGCAGGCGGAAUUCCUAGUGUAGCGGUGAAAUGCAUAGAUAUUAGGAGGAACGCCAGUGGCGAGGGCGGCCUGCUGGACGACAACUGACGCUGAGGCGCGAAAGCGUGGGGAGCAAACAGGAUUAGAUACCCUGGUA
rnacentral:rRNA from 1 species